rnacentral:rRNA from 1 species
UACGUAGGGUGCGAGCGUUAAUCGGAAUUACUGGGCGUAAAGCGUGCGUAGGUGGUUCGUUGUGUCUGUGGUGAAAGCCCCCGGGCUUAACCUGGGAAUGGCCAUGGAAACUGGCGAGCUGGAGUCUGGCAGAGGGGGGGUGGAAUUCCGCGUGUAGCAGUGAAAUGCGUAGAGAUGCGGAGGAACACCGGUGGCGAAGGCGGUUCUCUGGGCCUUACCUGACGCUGAGGAGCGAAAGCGUGGGGAGCGAACAGG